GUAAUAAUCCUGUAGUCGAAAAUGUUGUCUCUCUUGAGUGGAUCCUGAGUACGACGGAGCACGUGAAAUUCCGUCGGAAUCUGGGAGGACCAUCUCCUAAGGCUAAAUACUCUCUAGUGACCGAUAGUGAACCAGUACCGUGAGGGAAAGGUGAAAAGCACCCCGGAAGGGGAGUGAAAUAGAACCUGAAACCGUGUGCUUACAAGUAGUCAGAGCCCGUUAAUGGGUGAUGGCGUGCCUUUUGUAGAAUGAACCGGCGAGUUACGAUUUGAUGCAAGGUUAAGCAGUAAAUGUGGAGCCGUAGCGAAAGCGAGUCUGAAUAGGGCGUUUAGUAUUUGGUCGUAGACCCGAAACCAGGUGAUCUACCCUUGGUCAGGUUGAAGUUCAGGUAACACUGAAUGGAGGACCGAACCGACUUACGUUGAAAAGUGAGCGGAUGAACUGAGGGUAGCGGAGAAAUUCCAAUCGAACCUGGAGAUAGCUGGUUCUCUCCGAAAUAGCUUUAGGGCUAGCCUCAAGUGAUGAUUAUUGGAGGUAGAGCACUGUUUGGACGAGGGGCCCCUCUCGGGUUACCGAAUUCAGACAAACUCCGAAUGCCAAUUAAUUUAACUUGGGAGUCAGAACAUGGGUGAUAAGGUCCGUGUUCGAAAGGGAAACAGCCCAGACCACCAGCUAAGGUCCCAAAAUAUAUGUUAAGUGGAAAAGGAUGUGGCGUUGCCCAGACAACUAGGAUGUUGGCUUAGAAGCAGCCAUCAUUUAAAGAGUGCGUAAUAGCUCACUAGUCGAGUGACACUGCGCCGAAAAUGUACCGGGGCUAAACAUAUUACCGAAGCUGUGGAUUGUCCUUUGGACAAUGGUAGGAGAGCGUU
rnacentral:rRNA from 1 species